GUAAAUAAGUGUUCAUUCAUCCAGGACCUUACUCAGCCCAGUAUAUAGGGAGCCCUCUUCCUCGGCGUGGUUCACCAACCAUCACUACAGUCCGGCAGGCUUCUACUCAGGCUCCACGCAUCAUAACCUCCUCACAAAAGACGAAUAACAUAGGGACUCAGACUGGAGGAGUGCCCAGAGGAAAUCAGUACAAGUAUUCGUCUGGAGUGAGGAACCCUCUGCAUGUCGUUACGGUUCCUGUUCCCAUGACGAGACAACAGGUUGCUUCUGCGCCUGUGGCUGAACCAGCAGUUCACAUUCCAGGCCCGGAGCCCCUCACCGCUUCAAUGCUGGCUGCAGCUCCACUUAUGGAUCAGAAACAACUCCUUGGGGAACGACUGUAUCCACUAAUUCACGCCCUUCACCCAAACCUGGCAGGAAAAAUCACAGGGAUGCUGCUAGAGAUUGACAAUUCAGAGCUGCUGCACAUGCUGGAGUCACCGGAGUCCCUGAACUC